AGGCUUAGCAGAAGCUACACCCGGAUUCCUGCAGCUGAACGGAUGUAACCGGCAUUUGGGCUUUUCUAUUCAGUUACCUCCUUGUGGUCUGCAUGUAGGCUGUGAUUCUGUGGGGCUCUGCUGGAUCGGCUUGCUUGAUUCCAGGCCCAGGUCUGUUGUAUGUAUCUCCUCAUCCUGGGACCAUUGGCUACACAAGGUUUGAUCUUCUCACGGUCGAUGGCAGAAGUUCAAGAGAUCAAGCAGAGUCACAGAGGCACAUUUAAAGCCUCUGCUUCUAUUGCAUCUACUCACACUACUGGCCACAGCAAGUCACAUGACCAAGACUGACAACCACGGGUCAGAAAGAACACUCUACCCACAGUGAGAAAAUGUCAAAGAUCUUCACCAGCUGGGUUCCGAUGCCUUUGUUCAAUAAAGGUGGCUCACAUAGGCUAGCUCUAUUCCUACUGCGAGGAGAGGCGUAUGACCCAGACCUGGCCAAUCAAAACAUCCUUGCUCAAGGUGGACCAAUCAGAGCCAGUGAGAAUCCUGGGACUUGUACUACGACUACUGGAAAUGAGAACUUUCUUGAUUGGAAUUCGUUAAAGAACGAGAUAUAAACCUGCUUAUGGUUAUCUUCCCUCUCCAUGGGAAGAGUACUCUCGAAGGAAGACAGGACAGAGAAAGACAGCCAAGAAGUGGAGGAAGACAGAUUCCUGAUGAGAUCACUUGAAUUCUUGAGUCUAAUUAUGCCUGAAGUUUUACUC